rnacentral:rRNA from 1 species
UACGUAGGGUGCAAGCGUUAAUCGGAAUUACUGGGCGUAAAGCGUGCGCAGGCGGUUUUGUAAGUCUGUCGUGAAAUCCCCCGGGCUCAACCUGGGAAUUGCGAUGGAGACUGCAAGGCUAGAAUCUGGCAGAGGGGGGUAGAAUUCCACGUGUAGCAGUGAAAUGCGUAGAGAUGUGGAGGAACACCGAUGGCGAAGGCAGCCCCCUGGGUCAAGAUUGACGCU